GGGAUGUCCUGAUAUGUGUGUAAGGAAUGCAUUGUGUGAAAUUGUGUUUGUAUGUGUAAGGACUGCAAGGUGUGUUUCUGUGUAUGUAUGGGAUGCAUUGAAUGUGUGUAAGGGGUGCAUUGUGUGUUUCUGUGUGUGUAAGGGAUGCAUUGUGUGUAACGGUUGCAUUGCUUGUGUAUGUGUGUCUGUGUGCAAGGGGUGCAUUGUGUGUAUGUGAUGAAUGUCAAUCUCUCCUCCCGCUCCAAUUUCCUUCUCCUCCUCCCAAUUUCUCUUUCUCACCCCCC